rnacentral:rRNA from 2 species
ACCUUCGGGCCUGGCGCGAAUGAAUGAGCCGAUGCCCGAUUAGCUAGUUGGCGGGGUAAUGGCCCACCAAGGCGACGAUCGGUAGCUGGUCUGAGAGGAUGAUCAGCCACACUGGAACUGAGACACGGUCCAGACUCCUACGGGAGGCAGCAGUGGGGAAUAUUGGACAAUGGGCGCAAGCCUGAUCCAGCCAUACCGCGUGGGUGAAGAAGGCCUUCGGGUUGUAAAGCCCUUUUGUUGGGAAAGAAAAGCAGCCGGUUAAUACCUGGUUGUUCUGACGGUACCCAAAGAAUAAGCACCGGCUAACUUCG